rnacentral:lncRNA from 1 species
AUUCAGGCCUCCGCCAGCUUCUAGGCCCUGGGGAUGGUCUUUCACCUCCCUCUUUCUGAUCUCUUUUUCAUGCUCCUCCUUGCUCCAAAGAAAAGCCGGAUGGCAAAAGAGCCCAGAACCUAUUGGAACUGACAAAAUCAAGUCACGGCGCCUACAAAGAUGAGGGGCAGAUUCUGGCUGCCUUUUAAUUUCGUCCUUCACCUGAUAUCUGUGCCAGAGAAUGUCUUCCAGGAGUUCUGCUACAGAGAAGAGAGUAACCCCCAUCCAUCAUGGCCAAAGCACCCAGUCAGGCUCCGCUCUGGAUCCAGCCCGACAAAUGCAACCCUUGAAUAGGGUUUGUGCAAGCAAACUGGAUGACGACCGAAGAAACCCUGUCGCUUCUGAGAAGACACCCAAUCCAAGAAUGCUGGAGUGCAGUGGCGCAAUCACAGCUCAAUGCAGCCUUGAACUCCUGGACUCAAGCAAUUCUUCUGCCUCAACCUGCCAAGUAGUUGGGACUACACAUGUGCCAUCACACUCAGCUUUUGUCUGUGAUCCAUGUGGAAACCAUUCUUCUGUGUA